GACGAACGCUGGCGGCGUGCUUAACACAUGCAAGUCGAACGGAAAAGCCCUGCUUUUGUGGGGUGCUCGAGUGGCGAACGGGUGAGUAACACGUGAGUAACCUGCCCUUGACUUUGGGAUAACUUCAGGAAACUGGGGCUAAUACCGGAUAGGAGCUCCUGCUGCAUGGUGGGGGUUGGAAAGUUUCGGCGGUUGGGGAUGGACUCGCGGCUUAUCAGCUUGUUGGUGGGGUAGUGGCUUACCAAGGCUUUGACGGGUAGCCGGCCUGAGAGGGUGACCGGCCACAUUGGGACUGAGAUACGGCCCAGACUCCUACGGGAGGCAGCAGUGGGGAAUAUUGCACAAUGGGCUGAAGCCUGAUGCAGCAACGCCGCGUGCGGGAUGACGGCCUUCGGGUUGUAAACCGCUUUCGCCUGUGACGAAGCGUGAGUGACGGUAAUGGGUAAAGAAGCACCGGCUAACUACGUG
rnacentral:rRNA from 1 species